GCUUGCUACUUUGCUGACGAGCGGCGGACGGGUGAGUAAUGCUUGGGAACAUGCCUUGAGGUGGGGGACAACAGUUGGAAACGACUGCUAAUACCGCAUAAUGUCUACGGACCAAAGGGGGCUUCGGCUCUCGCCUUUAGAUUGGCCCAAGUGGGAUUAGCUAGUUGGUGAGGUAAUGGCUCACCAAGGCGACGAUCCCUAGCUGGUUUGAGAGGAUGAUCAGCCACACUGGGACUGAGACACGGCCCAGACUCCUACGGGAGGCAGCAGUGGGGAAUAUUGCACAAUGGGCGCAAGCCUGAUGCAGCCAUGCCGCGUGUGUGAAGAAGGCCUUCGGGUUGUAAAGCACUUUCAGUCAGGAGGAAAGGUUAACGGUUAAUACCCGUUAGCUGUGACGUUACUGACAGAAGAAGCACCGGCUAACUCCGUGCCAGCAGCCGCGGUAAUACGGAGGGUGCGAGCGUUAAUCGGAAUUACUGGGCGUAAAGCGUACGCAGGCGGUUUGUUAAGCGAGAUGUGAAAGCCCCGGGCUCAACCUGGGAACUGCAUUUCGAACUGGCAAACUAGAGUGUGAUAGAGGGUGGUAGAAUUUCAGGUGUAGCGGUGAAAUGCGUAGAGAUCUGAAGGAAUACCGAUGGCGAAGGCAGCCACCUGGGUCAACACUGACGCUCAUGUACGAAAGCGUGGGGAGCAAACGGGAUUAGAUACCCCGGUAGUCCACGCCGUAAACGAUGUCUACUAGAAGCUCGGAGCCUCGGUUCUGUUUUUCAAAGCUAACGCAUUAAGUAGACCGCCUGGGGAGUACGGCCGCAAGGUUAAAACUCAAAUGAAUUGACGGGGGCCCGCACAAGCGGUGGAGCAUGUGGUUUAA
rnacentral:rRNA from 1 species